AGGAGGAACAGCCCCAGUGGCAGGGCAGCUCUGGAAACCUGGAUUCAGCUCCGGCAGGAACUCCCGGAGCUCUCCGCCUGCAGGGCCUGGAGGCUCCGGGGAGGG
rnacentral:pre_miRNA from 1 species